rnacentral:rRNA from 1 species
AUUGAACGCUGGCGGCAGGCUUAACACAUGCAAGUCGAGCGAGCGGCGGACGGGUGAGUAAUGUGUGGGAAACUGCCUGAGGGAGGGGGAUAACUACUGGAAACGGUAGCUAAUACCGCAUACUAUCAUAUGUGCCUAGAGGGGAGUAGCUAGUAGGUGGGGAAAUGGCACACCUAGGCGACGAUCUCUAGCUGGUCUGAGAGGAUGACCAGCCACACUGGGACUGAGACACGGCCCAGACGCCUACGGGAGGCAGCAGUGGGGAAUAUUACACAAUGGGCGCAAGCCUGAUGCAGCCAUGCCGCGUGUAUGAAGAAGGCCUUAGGGUUGUAAAGCACUUUCAGCGGGGAGGCGUUACUCGCAGAAGAAGCACCGGCUAACUCCGUGCCAGCAGCCGCGGUAAUAC